UUUGUACUCCCUCCGUCCGGAAAUACUUGUCAGUGAAAUGGAUGUAUCUAGUCGUAUUUUAGUUCUAGAUACAUCCAUUUUUAUUCAUUUAUGCGACAAGUAUUUUCGGACGGAGGGAGUAUGUG
rfam:Triticum aestivum genome assembly, contig: Triticum_aestivum_CS42_TGACv1_scaffold_166370_2DL